rnacentral:rRNA from 1 species
AAUAAACCCCCAAAUUGCGAGAGCAAACCACCGAGUCCGCCGCCGCCGCCGCCCACCUUUUUUCCUCUCCCAAACCCUAGCUAGUCUCCGGCGAUGGCCCCCAAGCGCGCCGCGAAGAAGGCGGCACCCCCGCCUCCGCCUCCACCUCCGGCUGCCUCCUCCGAGGAGACCGACUCCCGCUCGCGCUCCGAGGAGUCGGACGAAGACGCCGAGUCCCCUCCCCCUGCCCCCACCCCGGCCCCCAAGAGCACGCCGGCGCCCCCGCAGGAAGGCGAGGAGGAGGAGGAGUCUGAAGAGGAAGAGGAGGAGGAGGAGUCUGAUGAGGAGCCCGCCCACGCGUCCCCGGCCGCCGCCGCCACCCCCAAGAACAAGCCUCCUCCGCCGCAACAGGGAGGUGACUCCGAUUCUUCCGACGAGGAGGAGGAAGAGGAGGAGGAGGAGGAGGUGCCCACCAAGGCGGCCCCUCUCUCCGCCCUGAAGAAACAACCCCCGCCCCCACCGCCGCGGCAGAGCGAGGAAUCGGACGCCUCCGACGAGGAAGAAGAGGAGGGUGAGUCCGAGGAGGAGGCGCCGCCGCCGCCGCCGAAGCUUGCUCCAAAGCAGGCGCCAGAGGGCCGGAAGCCCCAGGCAGCGGCCGAGACCAAGAAGCCGGCCGCUUUCAGCCGCAUCUGGUCCACCGACGACGAGGUGCGUAUCCUCGAGGCCCUCGCGGCUCACCAAAAGCAGCACGGCACGCUGCCGCAGCCCGACGCCCUCGUCGACGCCCUUGCAGGAAAGCUCGACAACCGUGCCUACGGCAGCAAGGAGCUCCAGGGGAAGGUCGCAGCCCUGAGGCGUCGGUACCUCCUUCUCAGCAAGAAGGGCGAGCUCCCGAGCAAGGAGCAUGACCGCCGGGUGCUGGAACUUUCCAAGAUGGUCUGGGAAGGUGGCGACAUGGCCAGCGCCGCAACUGCCUCUGCGAAGGUGGCAAAUGGCCAGGAGCCAAAGGGGUUCGAGGAGAUGUGUGAGAUGUAUCCGUACCUGGCGGAGCAGGUGAGGCAGCUGGAUGCGGCGAACCCGGGCAUGUUCAAGAGGCAGUUCGGGAUGAUGGAUGAGGAGAAGGCGCGCGCCAUGGACGAGAAGAUCAAGAAGCAGAGGGUGGCGCAGAUGAAGGUGGAGCUGCGCCGCCACGACCUGGUAAGGGAGGUGACCAAGGCCAUCAUCGAUCUGGUCGACUGAUGGGAGCGUCAUGAGCUUACCUGAAAUUGUACCGGUGAUCACAAUGUGGCGAUUUGGUGGAGCAAGAAGGUUUCUGAAAUUAUGAGCUAUAAUCUGCAAAUUUUGGUGUCUCAGAUGGUCUUAAGCAUGAAACCUAUGCUGGAACUGCAAAUUGUGCCUGGUGUUGUAAGAAUGCUUUUUUCCUGUGACCAGAGCAUGCUAGAAUUAGCAAAUUAGGGGUGUCUUUAUGGUGUAAGCAUGAUGAGACAUGUGCUGGAACUGCAAAUCGUGCUGGUGGAUUAAGAAUGUCUUCUUGUGUGGCCAGAGAAGUACGUACGUAUGCUAGAACUGGCAAACUGUAGCGUGCUGUUGGGUGCGCGAAUCUUUCUUGCAACUGGUUCCAUAUUGUGUGAGGUUACGAAUGAAAUGGUUUGCUGAAUGUGUAGUUGGUUUAGUAAAUCUUUUUCUGUUUUUAGUUUUGGCAGCUCGUUUGUGCAGAGGCUGGUCUUGCUCUUCUGGCUGUUUCAGACUUUGGGUGCAGGCUGGAGCCGUAAGUCUGAAGUAUAUAAAAUGCUUGAGAGGUUGCUCUGAAUAUCCAAAAAUAUUCUCUCCUUCCUUGAUGUUUCCAGUUCUCUAUAGGAGUGUUUUUCCUAAGUUAGGCACAUAAUCUGUUCUCUGUAUCCUUAUGCAAUGAUAUAUGUUCCC